CAACAUAAGGACCUGACAAACUGAUGCUGUUGUUGAAGAUGUGGACAUAAAUAACUCAAGUCGCGUUGAAGGACGCUUUGAAGGACUGCGACUGCCUUUGCUUGUUGACAGUCUCCCUGGAUACAUCAUCAACCUAUGUAUAAAAUAAUCAAACUUUCGGUGAAUUUCCACAAUGGCACAGUUUCAAUGCCGUCUAUUAUGCAAGAAAGCAAGCUUCCUAACUCUUCCACAACGUGCCCUGGAGUAUGCUCACUGUAGCUGACUUGGAGCUGAAAAGAUUCCUUUAUUGUGCAUUGCCUUUUGCUGUAUAUACAUAAAGUAUUUGUCAGCCAUUUAUUUUAUUUUUUUGUUUUUUGUUUCUGCUUCUGGUAAAAAAGAAAAACUACCAAGAAUGUAUUUCCCUUCCCUUUGUGUAUAUUUUUUAGUGUUCACAGUG